rnacentral:snoRNA from 9 species
UAUCGAAGGUCCCAGCAGGGAGGUUGAUUUACUCUUAACGAGUCCUCUCUAACACAUUUUAAUUACCUUCGAAGAUAUAUUUUGCCGAAUCGUAGGAUGCUCUAAAGUUUUCCAUUUUAGUGAUGUCUUGAAAUCUCGGCUAUAAUCUA